CAACAUUUUUACGUCCGUAUGUGACGUCACUGCGGACGUGUGAAUGAGAUGUGGACGAAUGGGGAGGUGAAUAGACGCAGUAAAGAUGAGCGUUCUGAAGGAUCUCAAGUGCUUUACGGUGAGGGGGUUGGACACUCAUCUCAACCACCAACCAGUGUGUAGCAACCGUUUGGGUAAAGCAAGGCAGCCAUUUUGAACCGGAGCACUUACCACACGGCUGCUGCAGGUGAUCGCCCAUUGUGAGUGAGCCUCUGCUGCUGUCCAUGGUGCUGAAAGCCUCAGAUUUUGGGAGACGGCUGGAAUUCCUAAUGGUGGCCAAAAGAGAAGGGGGAGCCCCUCCCCUCUUCCUCCCCAACCCAAACCGCCAUCACAUUUCCCUUAUUGCUCAAAGGUAAGCUGAUUUCGGGGGGUAAUGUUCCCCUUAAUUAAGAAUUAAUACGAGAACGCGGUCCGCAAUAUGAACUGCCAACAUAAAGACAUGCUGUGCGGCUGUGGCUGAGAGCGACUUGCUGUAUGUGUUUGGGCAAAUUGCUGCGUUUCACAGAUGGAUGGUUGCCUGGGGGUCACUGUUAUGAAAUAAUCUUCAUAUGUGCUGCUGUGAAGCCUAGCUAACUCUGGUGCUCUAGCGCAGACACGUCCAGGCCGACAACUACGCACGCCGAGAGAGGAGCAGCAUGAUGUAACAUGCAACAGACAUUUGGCAUAUCGCGCUUACUCCACUGCCAGGCUUCGGAUCAGAACGGACUCAUUAAUUACACCGUUGAGAGUAUUUAUAUUUCCCUGUUCUUGUCAGAGGCGAGCGUGAUGAACUGUCCACCCAGAGGUUGUUAUUGUAAUUGGCAUUUUAAAAUGGCAAUUAGCACAACAACAAAAAAAAAAGUUAAAUUUGAGAUUGCAGUGCAAGACUCACGUUGCUGUCCAACAAGGUAAGUUGUCAUUUCACAAGAAUAUCAAUGAAACACUUGUGAUGCUACUUGUUGAUGCUCGCUUGUCUGUGCUUACGUGUCUUGUAUGUUCUUUUAUGCUGCUCGUAAUGCAUCUUGUUAAUGCUCAAUAGUUUUUUACUCAUUUGUCUGUGCUUAUGUGUUAUGUAUGUUCUUUUAUGUUCCUUAAACCAUCAACCUGCCCAGGGACUACAGAUGAAAAUUAGCCUGUAUGAGUAAAUGUGGCACAUUUACAUGAUGCAUCUAAGUUCUCAUGUUUAUUAAUGUGCACUGUCCCUUUCUUAAAUAAAAAAAAUAUCUGCCACUUCUAGAUGACUGGAUGAUUGCUGUCUUUCUUGGAGGCUCAUCUUGUUUGGGUACCCAUUGUUAUCCUGUUAAUGUAUCAUCACUUGGUUAUUUAUUAAAAAAAACCCAUUUUAUUUUAUUUUUUUACUUUGGAGUACUGAACUGUUUCUUGUGUCUUCUCCUUGUUGUAGUGUCCUCAGUGAAAUCCUGGAGAGCGAAGAUGGGCACUUUCUGACUCCUGCGGACCAAUAAAAUAAUCCCAUUCACUCCUGCAGACCAAUGAGAUAAUGCCACUGACUCCUGCUGACCAGUGAGAUAAUCCCAUUCACUCCUGCUGACCAAUGAGAUAAUCCCACUCACGCAUGCAAACCAGUGAGAUUAUCCCGCUGAUUUGUGAACACCAAUGAGAUAAUCCUGUUGAUUUGUGAGCUCCCUCCUUGGCCAAUGGCAGUUGUUCACUGCGGUUGUUAGCCACAGUUUGUCGUUUCUCUGCGUUGAGCCUUCUCCAAUAAAAGCUGAAUGGGAAACAUUAAUGCCAUGAAGGUAAGUGGAGUAUUAUUUUGUUCUGUGUAGAAUCACAUGCGUGUUCUGUUCUCUCUGCAGAAGCCCUUCUGGUUCAGCCUGCCACGCCCAGCCCUGUGUCAGAGAACAGGAGAGACUCAACUUCCUGGAUCCUCUGUCCAUGCGAAAUACAGCAUUAUACACAGGAGGUCCAGGGAGCUGUGACAUGCGAGAAGGCAUCAGCAGUGAUUGGUUCCAGCCAUUGUCCUAUGAGCUGUCACAGGGGAGAUGCAUGCGCAUAAGACUCAUCCGAUGGAAAGACUGCGGCCAGCAGGAGGACUUACAAGCAACAACAAAAAAAGAAUCAUAGCUGACAACCCUUUCUUUCUUUGGAAGAGAGUGCAUGCUUGUUGCUCUUCUGAAAUUGGUGGAGGACAUUGCAUUGCAUUACAAGCAUUUAGAAGACGCUCUUAUCCAGAGUGACUUAUACAACUUCUGUAUAUUGCAUCCUUUUGUACAUACACAGUUCCUUACCCAUUAUACUACACUGCCACCCUAUCACACCAGUGAGGCGGGCCCAUGAAUGGAAAUGGACUUUUGAAAUUUGAAGGAAAUAGAUAAGUUAAGGUUGCAGAAUUGGCCCUUUGAGGAAAGGAUCACAGACAAAAUAAGUUGAUCAAUUUCUCAUAAUCAGAGAGGGUAAGCAAUGCCCCCUAGUGGUUAAUAUUGUCCUGAAUUUAGCACAUGAUUGAACAUCAAAGCAAGAUAGAAAGCAAGUCUUGGAAACACUGCCCUAGAAACAGUUGCAAGGUUGCUGAAAUUUAAAUAAAUUAAAUAGAAGCAUGCACAUGCAUUAGAGUUAAUGCAAAAUUAGGCUUACAGUAUGUUUAGGCAUAAGGGAAAGGUUAGUCCCUCAUGUGGUUGGCCAAAAUGUUUGUUCACUAUUUUGCUCACUUAACCUUAAGCCUAAUAUAUGAUUUUUCAUUUUUCAGUUAUAUAUCAAAAAUGACAUUCUUUUGUUAAAAAAUACUGAUAUUUGAGUUGACUGCUAGGGCUAAAACUAGAAUUUCUAGGAUUCGCAGUAGAAUCCUAUCUGGCCCACUGUUGCCCGGGUACUUUACAGCUGUUAGUCCGGCUGCUGUGUGUGUGUUGGUGUACAGACUGUCUGUUUCUAUGGUGAACAGGAUGACUUCCUGUUGUAUUUUUAUAUUUUUUAUUUUGUUGAUAAAAUCAUAUGGGUCUUUGAUGUAGCUGGUGUGUUUUGUGGAUAGUGCACUGUGAAAAUAAUGUGUGUAUUCAGCCAUCCCUGUAGGAUUCACUUUUGAAUUCAAUCUGAAAAAAAUGGAUCCCCUCUGCUGGUGCCUCAUUUUGUAUGCUCCAGGACUGCAGUGGCUUGUGUAUCUUGGGGGGAGUGGUGGAAAAUCCUAUGUCUGGGUUUGUCCUCGGCCCUCAGUUCUUUGUUCUUUAAUUAUUUCUGUAUUUUCUAAAACCGACUGUAUGAUGUUCAGUAGUUCCGAAGCUGUGUCAGGUUAUGUUUGGGUGCAUAAAAAUAAUUGUAACAUGA